rnacentral:piRNA from 2 species
UUGGUCUGACUCUUUCCCAAACAUAAAUUGA